rnacentral:rRNA from 1 species
UGACUGCGUACCUUUUGUAUAAUGGGUCAGCGACUUAUAUUCUGUAGCAAGGUUAACCGAAUAGGGGAGCCGGAGGGAAACCGAGUCUUAAUUGGGCGUUAAGUUGCAGGGUAUAGACCCGAAACCCGGUGAUCUAGCCAUGGGCAGGUUGAAGGUUGGGUAACACUAACUGGAGGACCGAACCGACUAAUGUUGAAAAAUUAGCGGAUGACCUGUGGCUGGGGGUGAAAGGCCAAUCAAACCGGGAGAUAGCUGGUUCUCCCCGAAAGCUAUUUAGGUAGCGCCUCGUGAAUUCAUCUCCGGGGGUAGAGCACUGUUUCGGCUAGGGGGCCAUCCCGGCUUACCAACCCGAUGCAAACUGCGAAUACCGGAGAAUGUUAUCACGGGAGACACACGGCGGGUGCUAACGUCCGUCGUGAAGAGGGAAACAACCCAGACCGCCAGCUAAGGUCCCAAAGUCAUGGUUAAGUGGGAAACGAUGUGGGAAGGCCCAGACAGCCAGGAUGUUGGCUUAGAAGCAGCCAUCAUUUAAAGAAAGCGUAAUAGCUCACUGGUCGAGUCGGCCUGCGCGGAAGAUGUAACGGGGCUAAACCAUGCACCGAAGCUGCGGCAGCGACACUGUGUGUUGUUGGGUAGGGGAGCGUUCUGUAAGCCUGUGAAGGUGCCUGUGAGGCAUGCUGGAGGUAUCAGAAGUGCGAAUGCUGACAUAAGUAACGAUAAAGCGGGUGAAAAGCCCGCUCGCCGGAAGACCAAGGGUUCCUGUCCAACGUUAAUCGGGGCAGGGUGAGUCGACCCCUAAGGCGAGGCCGAAAGGCGUAGUCGAUGGGAAACGGGUUAAUAUUCCCGUACUUGGUGUUACUGCGAAGGGGGGACGGAGAAGGCUAUGUUGGCCGGGCGACGGUUGUCCCGGUUUAAGCGUGUAGGUGUGUGUUCCAGGUAAAUCCGGUUCACUUUAACACUGAGGCGUGACGACGAGGCACUACGGUGCUGAAGCAACAAAUGCCCUGCUUCCAGGAAAAGCCUCUAAGCAUCAGGUAACAUCAAAUCGUACCCCAAACCGACACAGGUGGUCAGGUAGAGAAUACCAAGGCGCUUGAGAGAACUCGGGUGAAGGAACUAGGCAAAAUGGUGCCGUAACUUCGGGAGAAGGCACGCUGACACGUAGGUGAAGUGAUUUACUCAUGGAGCUGAAGUCAGUCGAAGAUACCAGCUGGCUGCAACUGUUUAUUAAAAACACAGCACUGUGCAAACACGAAAGUGGACGUAUACGGUGUGACGCCUGCCCGGUGCCGGAAGGUUAAUUGAUGGGGUCAGCGCAAGCGAAGCUCCUGAUCGAAGCCCCGGUAAACGGCGGCCGUAACUAUAACGGUCCUAAGGUAGCGAAAUUCCUUGUCGGGUAAGUUCCGACCUGCACGAAUGGCGUAAUGAUGGCCAGGCUGUCUCCACCCGAGACUCAGUGAAAUUGAACUCGCUGUGAAGAUGCAGUGUACCCGCGGCAAGACGGAAAGACCCCGUGAACCUUUACUAUAGCUUGACACUGAACAUUGAGCCUUGAUGUGUAGGAUAGGUGGGAGGCUUUGAAGUGUGGACGCCAGUCUGCAUGGAGCCGACCUUGAAAUACCACCCUUUAAUGUUUGAUGUUCUAACGUGGACCCGUUACCCGGGUUGCGGACAGUGUCUGGUGGGUAGUUUGACUGGGGCGGUCUCCUCCUAAAGAGUAACGGAGGAGCACGAAGGUUGGCUAAUCCUGGUCGGACAUCAGGAGGUUAGUGCAAUGGCAUAAGCCAGCUUGACUGCGAGCGUGACGGCGCGAGCAGGUGCGAAAGCAGGUCAUAGUGAUCCGGUGGUUCUGAAUGGAAGGGCCAUCGCUCAACGGAUAAAAGGUACUCCGGGGAUAACAGGCUGAUACCGCCCAAGAGUUCAUAUCGACGGCGGUGUUUGGCACCUCGAUGUCGGCUCAUCACAUCCUGGGGCUGAAGUAGGUCCCAAGGGUAUGGCUGUUCGCCAUUUAAAGUGGUACGCGAGCUGGGUUUAGAACGUCGUGAGACAGUUCGGUCCCUAUCUGCCGUGGGCGCUGGAGAACUGAGGGGGGCUGCUCCUAGUACGAGAGGACCGGAGUGGACGCAUCACUGGUGUUCGGGUUGUCAUGCCAAUGGCACUGCCCGGUAGCUAAAUGCGGAAGAGAUAAGUGCUGAAAGCAUCUAAGCACGAAACUUGCCCCGAGAUGAGUUCU